rnacentral:sRNA from 1 species
UUUUUGCUUCUUUUUUU